AUUGGAGCUUCCAUGCUCAGCAAGUGGUAUCAGAGCGAGACUGUUGAUUUUCUAUGGAUUGUUUGAGAUUCUUUUGGGAUGACUGGGUUGAAGUAUGAUAUUCUGUAAUUAGAUCGCAGUACAAGGUUUUCUUUGUGGCAAGUAAAGAUAAGGGCUGUUCUGGCACAGUUGGCUUUGGAAGAUGCGUUGUUGGGUUUUGAGAAGAUGCCAACUAAAUGGACAACAAAGGAGAAACAACAGAGGAUCGGAAGGCUACGUCAUUGAUUCAUCUUCAUCUGUCCAACAACAUUCUACAGGAUGUCUUGAAGGAGAAAAUGACGGCUGCUUUGUGGUUGAGGUUGGAGCGGUUGUGUAUGACUAAGAGUCUUACAAGUAAACUGACUCUUAAGCAAAAGCUCUAUUUACAUCACAUGGCAGAAGAAGAGUCGUUGGAAGACCAUGUUGCCAUGUUCAAAGAAAUAGUUGCAGAUCUGAAA
rnacentral:lncRNA from 1 species